rnacentral:lncRNA from 1 species
AGGUCGUAAGGUACGCCAUCUUCAUUUUCAACGGAGAGAAACCGGAUUCCAUGUGAAUUUAACGGUAACUUCUGGUACAG